rnacentral:rRNA from 1 species
GUGGGGAAUUUUGGACAAUGGGCGCAAGCCUGAUCCAGCAAUGCCGCGUGCAGGAAGAAGGCCUUCGGGUUGUAAACUGCUUUUGUACGGAACGAAACGGUCCGGGUUAAUACCCUGGGCUAAUGACGGUACCGUAAGAAUAAGCACCGGCUAACUACGUGCCAGCAGCCGCGGUAAUACGUAGGGUGCAAGCGUUAAUCGGAAUUACUGGGCGUAAAGCGUGCGCAGGCGGUUUUGUAAGACAGGCGUGAAAUCCCCGGGCUCAACCUGGGAAUUGCGCUUGUGACUGCAAGGAUGGGGUGCGGCAGAGGGGGAUGGAAUUCCGCGUGUAGCAGUGAAAUGCGUAGAUAUGCGGAGGAACACCGAUGGCGAAGGCAAUCCCCUGGGCCUGCACUGACGCUCAUGCACGAAAGCGUGGGGAGCAAACAGGAUUAGAAACCCUAGUAGUCC